rnacentral:rRNA from 1 species
GAUGAACGCUGGCGGCGUGCCUAAUACAUGCAAGUCGAGCGAACAGACGAGGAGCUUGCUCCUCUGACGUUAGCGGCGGACGGGUGAGUAACACGUGGAUAACCUACCUAUAAGACUGGGAUAACUUCGGGAAACCGGAGCUAAUACCGGAUAAUAUAUUGAACCGCAUGGUUCAAUAGUGAAAGACGGUUUUGCUGUCACUUAUAGAUGGAUCCGCGCCGCAUUAGCUAGUUGGUAAGGUAACGGCUUACCAAGGCAACGAUGCGUAGCCGACCUGAGAGGGUGAUCGGACACACUGGAACUGAGACACGGUCCAGACUCCUACGGGAGGCAGCAGUAGGGAAACUUCCGCAAUGGGCGAAAGCCUGACGGAGCAACGCCGCGUGAGUGAUGAAGGUCUUCGGAUCGUAAAACUCUGUUAUUAGGGAAGAACAAAUGUGUAAGUAACUAUGCACGUCUUGACGGUACCUAAUCAGAAAGCCACGGCUAACUACGUG